UAUGGCGGCAGUCACUCUCGCUCAACACUGACAAAAGUUCUAGGGUUUCUCCCAAAAUUUUUGUUCGCGAUUCUGAAACAGUGAAACCCCAGGGCUUUUGGUUCGGGAUUCAGAUGUUGGCUCUCAGAUUAAUCUGCUUUGGAAACAUUCCCUCGAAGGUUUUCUCAAGCACACACGUUGUAUCAUCUUUCAUCAGAAGUUGCAGGUUUGGUGCUUGUCUUGUGAAACCUUGCCCGAUAGUUUUGGCAUUCAGCAAGGUUACAGGCUUUCACUAUUCUCGCACUAUACCAGUUAUGUCUGGUGAAAUCCCCAUGAGUGUUGCAGAUGGUAACACAUUUCAUGAGCCUCAAAGAACCUUUCAAGUUGUAGUUGCUGCCACGAGGGAAAUGGGCAUAGGCAAAGAUGGUAAAUUGCCCUGGAGGCUGCCAUCUGAUCUCAAAUUUUUCAAGGAGAUCACAAUGAGUACGUCAGAUCCCUUGAAAAAGAAUGCCGUGAUAAUGGGUAGAAAAACUUGGGAAAGUAUUCCCACACAGCACAGACCUUUGCCUGGCCGCCUGAAUGUUGUUCUAACUCGUUCGGGAAGUUUCGAUAUCGCGACAGCAGAGAAUGUUGUUAUCUGCGGGAGCGUAAAUUCUGCCUUAGACCUGCUAGCUGCAUCCCCUUAUUGCUUCUCAACCGAGAAAGUGUUUGUUAUAGGAGGUGGGCAGGUGUUAAGGGAAGCUCUGAAUGCACCUGGAUGUGAAGCCAUUCAUUUCACUGACAUAGAAACAAGUAUUGAUUGUGACACUUUCAUCCCUCCAAUUGACUUGACUGUUUUUCAGCCAUGGUAUUCAUCGUUCCCAGUGAAAGAGAACAACCUUAGGUAUUCUUUCAGGACAUAUGUGCGCGUGCGGAGUUCUGCUACUGACCUUAGUUCUCUGCAAAAUGGGGAAACAACCACUACUAAUUUAAAGAUGGAUAAGUUUGAAAUUGAGCAGUUUUCAUUUCUUCCGAAAAUGAUAUUUGAAAGACAUGAAGAAUACAUGUAUCUCAGACUUGUUCAAGAUAUCAUAGCAAAUGGUGCUGAAAAGAAUGAUAGGACUGGGACUGGGACACUCUCAAAGUUUGGCUGUCAGAUGCGGUUCAAUUUGAGAAGAUCUUUUCCAUUGCUCACAACUAAGAAAGUAUUUUGGCGAGGAGUUGUUGAAGAACUAUUGUGGUUCAUCAGUGGUUCCACAAAUGCAAAGGUUUUACAGGAAAAGGGUAUACAUAUUUGGGAUGGAAAUGCAUCAAGAGGAUAUCUUGACAGUAUUGGUUUAACUCUUAGAGAAGAAGGAGAUUUAGGGCCAAUAUACGGGUUUCAGUGGAGGCACUUCGGUGCUGAAUACAUUAACAUGCAUGCUGACUACUCUGGGAAAGGAUUUGAUCAGCUGCUGGAUGUAAUUGAUAAAAUAAAGAAUAAUCCAGAUGAUCGGCGCAUAGUUCUUUCAGCUUGGAAUCCUUCAGAUCUUAAACAAAUGGCUCUUCCUCCUUGUCAUAUGUUUGCACAGUUCUAUGUGGAGAAUGGGGAGUUAUCGUGCCAAAUGUACCAGCGAUCUGCAGACAUGGGUCUUGGGGUGCCGUUUAAUAUCGCAUCUUAUUCUCUUUUGACAUGCAUGAUUGCUCAAGUUUGUGAUCUUGUUCCUGGUGAUUUUGUCCAUGUUAUAGGAGAUGCUCACGUCUAUAGAACCCAUGUUAGGCCUUUGCAAGAGCAGCUGCAGAAGCAGCCCAAACCAUUUCCAAUAUUGAAAAUUAAUCCUGAGAAGAAGGAUAUUGACUCAUUCGAGGCAUCUGACUUUAAACUUGUUGGAUAUGACCCCCACUUGAAGAUAGACAUGAAAAUGGCUGUGUAGGGCCAUAAACUCUGCACACUUGGAAGAAAGCUGUCUUGCUGUUUUUUCCUUGGUGAUGAGAAUAUAAUUUAUAGAGUUUUCAAGAAUCUAUAUCAGGUUGCUUGUUGGUGGUGGCCUUUGUUUUGCUUAUGACUUGGAAGAAUUUACAAGAGUGUUCAUGAAUGAAGGCCGGGCUUGGCAAGGAGCAAGGAGCAAGGAGCAGAGUGGUCUGCUCGUCAUCUGUUUGGUUGUUGAUCUCCAAUCGUUCACUCUUGGUUUUCAUUACCCCGAAUGCAUAGUUAUUAUAGUUCAUUUAGUCUCAUAGUUGACUAAAUGGAGGCUCACCGGAUGCUUAUUAGAUAUUCAAUCUUCAACAAAUUGUUUUCAUGGAUGAGUUUUUUCUAGGUCUCUAGUAAAUGGUAUGAGAGUUAAUCUUAUGCUUCCAGUUGUAAGUGAAACUGAUGAACAUUGGUGGUCUACAUUGCAAUGCUCGGUUGGAACUUGUCUUGUGCGAAGCCGAAUGGUCGAUGCUUGGAUUGCACUAUUUUA